CUUGACUCUAAACAUUCGCAAGAUCUUCUCUGAUAUUGAUCCGGAACUCUUCGAGGAGUGCCUGGUCAAGUUUCAGGAAGAUGAAACACGGGAGAAGGAGACAAAGGUCAAGCGUGAAACCACAUGGAAACGCUUAGANNNNNNNNCAGUGAAGGCUGCGAGUAAUGAGCCAGUACUCGUCUCCCCAAAAAUUAUGCCACGUGCGCCCUCUGGCUAGAUAGUUGGAAACUCUCACCAGUCACUGCUGUUUCUUUGGUUCGGUUGGUGGUUGUUUUGCAAUGCAAGCGAUGGAUGGGGGUGGUGAAUGAAGAGGUGGAUUGUGAAGCUAAUUAUUGAUUUUCUUGCAUAUUCACCUAAACCUUCUUCAGAGUUUUUGGUUUGCCAUCUAAUUAGGACACAAUGUGGGGAAGGCACCAUGAUUGCAGUGGGACGAAAUCGCAUUUUGCUUAAUCCUGGAGGACAGCAUGCAACAGAUAGGAUGGAGAAACAAAUGGUAAGAGAAUAUCUAAAGUUCAGUUCUGUUACUAAAACUGAGCUUGUGCUGUUUAAUGGUUU
rnacentral:misc_RNA from 1 species